rnacentral:rRNA from 2 species
AAUAUUUUUGGUGACUCAUAAUAACUUUACGGAUCACAUUAUGUGACAUAUCAUUCAAGUUUCUGACCUAUCAGCUUUAGACGGUAGGGUAUUGGCCUACCGUGGCUAUGACGGGUAACGGGGAAUUAGGGUUCGAUUCCGGAGAGGGAGCCUGAGAAACGGCUACCACAUCUAAGGAAGGCAGCAGGCGCGCAAAUUACCCAAUCCUAAUACAGGGAGGUAGUGACAAGAAAUAACAAUACAGAACCUUACGGUUUUGUAAUUGGAAUGAGUUAAGUAUAAACCCCUUAACAAGUAUCAAUUGGAGGGCAAGUCUGGUGCCAGCAGCCGCGGUAAUUCCAGCUCCAAUAGCGUAUAUUAAAGUUGUUGCAGUUAAAAAGCUCGUAGUUAAUCUUCUGUUAAUUUUUAUAUAUAAUAUUUCGAUAUUUAUAUAAUAUUAACAUAAUUCAUAUUACUUUUUAGUAUAUGAAACUUUACUUUGAGAAAAUUAGAGUGCUUAAAGCAGGCUAUUGCCUUGAAUACUCCAGCAUGGAAUAAUAUUAAGGAUUUUUAUUCUUCUUAUUGGUUCUAGAAUAAAAAUGAUGAUUAAUAGGAACAGUUGGGGGCAUUUGUAUUUAACAGUCAGAGGUGAAAUUCUUAGAUUUGUUAAAGACAAACUACUGCGAAAGCAUUUGCCAAGGAUGUUUUCAUUAAUCAAGAACGAAAGUUAGGGGAUCGAAGACGAUCAGAUACCGUCGUAGUCUUAACCAUAAACUAUGCCAACUAGAGAU